GAUGAAGAACGCAGCGAAAUGCGAUAAGUAGUGUGAAUUGCAAAAUUCAGUGAAUCAUCGAAUCUUUGAACGCACAUUGCGCCCUUUGGUAUUCCAAAGGGCAUGCCUGUUCGAGCGUCAUUUGUACCCUCAAGCUUUGCUUGGUGUUGGGCGUCUUGUCUCUAGCUUUGCUGGAGACUCGCCUUAAAGUAAUUGGCAGCCGGCCUACUGGUUUCGGAGCGCAGCACAAGUCGCACUCUCUAUCAGCAAAGGUCUAGCAUCCAUUAAGCCUUUUUUUCAACUUUUGACCUCGGAUCAGGUAGGGAUACCCGCUGAACUUAAGCAUAUCAAUAAGCGGAGGA
rnacentral:misc_RNA from 1 species